rnacentral:rRNA from 1 species
UACAGAGGUCUCAAGCGUUGUUCGGAUUCAUUGGGCGUAAAGGGUGUGUAGGUGGCGCGCUAAGUCGGGGUGUGAAAUUUCGGAGCUUAACUCCGAAACUGCAUUCGAUACUGGCGUGCUUGAGGACUGGAGAGGAGACUGGAAUUCAUGGUGUAGCAGUGAAAUGCGUAGAGAUCAUGAGGAGACCAGUGGCGAAGGCGGGUCUCUGGACAGUUCCUGACACUGAGACACGAAGCC